rnacentral:tRNA from 1 species
GCAUUUGUGGCGUAAUGUUCAGCGCACUCGGCGUGUAUUCGAGAGUUCCGAGGUUCGAGUCUCGGCGAGGGUA